rnacentral:rRNA from 1 species
GACGAACGCUGGCGGCGUGCUUAACACAUGCAAGUCGUACGGUAAGGCCCUUUCGGGGGUACACGAGUGGCGAACGGGUGAGUAACACGUGAGUAACCUGCCCGCAACUUUGGGAUAACGCUAGGAAACUGGUGCUAAUACUGGAUAUGUGCUCCUGCUGCAUGGUGGGGGUUGGAAAGCUCCGGCGGUUGUGGAUGGACUCGCGGCCUAUCAGCUUGUUGGUGGGGUAGUGGCCUACCAAGGCGGCGACGGGUAGCCGGCCUGAGAGGGUGACCGGCCACAUUGGGACUGAGAUACGGCCCAGACUCCUACGGGAGGCAGCAGUGGGGAAUAUUGCACAAUGGGCGCAAGCCUGAUGCAGCAACGCCGCGUGCGGGAUGACGGCCUUCGGGUUGUAAACCGCUUUCAGCAGGGACGAAGCUUUUUGUGACGGUACCUGCAGAAGAAGCACCGGCUAACUACGUG